GGAGGGUUGCCGGAGCGGUCAAACGGCGCUGCCUUGAAAGCAGAUGGAGAGAAAUCUCACGGGAGUUCGAAUCUACCCACCCUCCG
rnacentral:tRNA from 1 species